UGUUUUCUGUCGUUGCGGCUCUUUUUUUCCUUGUUUUUUCCUUUGUUCCUCUCCCCAAAUUCUCCACGAUCACUUCGUAAACACCAAAAUGGUCAACAGGGCAUCCGUUUGAAAAAAUAGAACG
rnacentral:ribozyme from 1 species